UACAGAGGGUGCGAGCGUUAAUCGGAAUUACUGGGCGUAAAGCGUGCGUAGACGGUUAUUUAAGUCGGAUGUGAAAGCCCCGGGCUCAACCCAGGAAGUGCUUUUGAUACUGCAUAGCUUGAAUGUGGGAGAGGAUAGUGGAAUUCCAGGUGUAGUGGUGAAAUACGUAGAUAUCUGGAGGAACACCGGUGGCGAAGGCGGCUAUCUGGCCCAACAUUGACACUGAAGCACGAAAGCGUGGGGAUCAAACAGG
rnacentral:rRNA from 1 species